GAGCUUUUCCAGAGGAAGGGCUGAUGAGAAGAGUCGCAGCUGAAUAGUGAGAGAAAAAGCCUGGUAUUUAUUGCUUUUGUUUGGCUUUUGGCUACAGAGACAGGAACCUUCUAAUGGGCACAGUCUUUCUGUAAUUCAAAACUCAGUCUGCAAACCAACGGAAAGGAGAGGAGGAAGCUAGAAGAGUUGCACAGACCACUUAGGCCCUGGCAGUGGGCAGAUGGGACCAGUGCCUAAGACAGCAGCAUUGUCUGAGAGGUACAGAGGGAAAACUGACUAUUGGUUGGUAAAGAAGAGGAGGGUCUGGUGAAUCAAACUGCCCACAACAGACAGGAGAGUGCACUUGUGACCAAAUAAACUCCUGAAAUGCUGAGCAAAAGGUAGUGGAACAGAUGGAGAUUUGAAACCACAACUGUGGAAACAGACCUGCAUAGGGUCAAGCCAGUUGGUGUGAUGCUAGAGAGGAAGAAGGGGAGAUACAUUUCAAUAGGAGCCUGGAGUUUAGCGCUUGGGAAAAGAAUGCUGCAUCUUUGGGACUUCGCUCCUAGUUGAUAAGGAUGAAACCAUUUCAGAAUGCCUGUGGUGUGUGCUCAUGAGCAAUGCCGAGACCGGAAGCUUCUAGUAGGCCUGAGGCACAUUGAGCUCGCAUCUUUGGUACAAUGACUGACACAAGUUACAGUAGAAGAAAGAACUAUAGACUAUCAUUCAUUGGCCAUGGACCUCCAUCAUUGAAGAAGCCAUCUAAGAUCCCAUGUACUGUAAAGGAAGCCUUGAGAGGCAUAGCUAAGAUUGGAUGUAAUGGCAUGUGGAACAGUUUAAGCAGUCAAUGACCUUUUAUUUUUCUUUCAACUCCAAUAUAGUCAGCAGAGUAUAAACAAGAUGAGAAUUCAGCAGAACACAUGUAUUAUAAUUGAUUGACAAAAUAAAGAUGAUUUCUGCUAA
rnacentral:lncRNA from 1 species